GUGAAGGUCGGGCAUGCUGUUUAUAUUUAUCUGUCAGGGCCUAAUCCAUCAAUGGUCCAGGUUUGUUAACCUUUUUAAAAUUACAAGUUUGUAUAUUUUGCUAUUAGCUUAUCUCACUAAUGAUUGGCAAUAUUAACAAUGAUAGAUAGCCCUUAUUCAUUAACUGUUGAAAUCAUGGUUGCUGGCCACUACUAUCAUGAAUGAAUUGUAGCAUCCUUGACCUCUGCAACAACUCUCACAAUAAUAGGUUGACAUGGUGGUUUAGGAGGUGAUGUAAUUUUAGAAUUUUCCCUCUUCAAUUUGGGACGUCAACGAUUUGUAACCACACAUUGUAAGUAAUCAUUUUGUUACAGAAUAUUUUCAAACAUAUAGAUUUGGGUCUUCUAGCAUUAAGAGAUCUCAUUCCUAAUCAUGUUAUCCUGGAGAAUAUGAUAAAGGAGUGUCAUGGAGUCUCAAAGAAUAUGAUUGGAAAUCUAAGGAAAGAUAGAAGAUAAGGUGUUAACUUUACUUUUUGUUAACCUGCAAGGAUUUUGAAUAAUCUUUCUGGUCUUUGACUAUAUAUUUUAAACUUACCAUGCAACAAUUCUUUAAAGGAGCAAUCUUUGUGGUAGGUUGUUAGAGUAAUUUUUGAUGCAGAAGAACAAUGGUUAGUAUUUUUUGCCUUGCAUGACAUUGCUGAUUCCAGAUCGUUUGUUCAUCAUGGUCUUCACCGUAGUUUGUUGUUAAGAGGUCUUCUCUUCUAUUUUCUCAACUCUCUUAUAUUUCCCUGCUGUUUUUGCAGCGUGCUUUUCAAAUCUUUCUUCUGCAGUUCUAAAGCUUCUUCUUUUUUGUUAUCCUUUUUUCCGUGACCCAAUCUUUUUUUUUUCCUCCCUAUCAUUCACUUUCCUUGGGUUCCAAGAAUUUUGUGCCUUUUUGUGUUUGAUCAGCUACCUUUCUUGUUUUUCCCCCUUUUUUCCCCUGAACAGCUUGGCAUGCUUGCUUAUGGUUUUACCUUUUGUUGGAUUUGCAUUAGGACCCGCUUUUGUUUAGAAAGAAACAUGGGCCUCUUGGUCCCUCCAGUUCGAGGGCCAGUUUCCCCUACUCUGCACUAUCGCAUAAGUUCAGUGAUAAAAGAUUUGAGGAGAGGUGAGAAGGUGAUUAUAUAGAAUCAGAUUAUGGCUCCAUCAUUUUGCAUGGGUGGGAAGUUAUAAUUACCAGGUGCCAAAUUCUGUCCAACAAGGUGAUGAUGAAGAUGAACUACUUUUCAGGCGCAUCGUAUCUCUUUAAUUUUUCUUCUUUUUUAUAUCAGUGGAACAUACUUCAAACUAAAUUAAUGACAUGGGUAUCGAGUGAUGUUAGUGCUUUCUCCUAUUGACAUUGGUUCUGUGGUGUUUCAAGUUAGAAUUCUUAACAGGUUAAGUUUCUUUUUGCCACUCAAACCAUGCAUAAAGCCCUGAUGAUUUCCGAACGAACACACACACAAAGUUUUGGAAAAACCAAGUGCAUCCUUCG